rnacentral:rRNA from 1 species
GACGAACGCUGGCGGCGUGCCUAACACAUGCAAGUCGAACGGAGAUACGAUUUCGGUUGUAUCUUAGUGGCGAACGGGUGAGUAACGCGUGAGCAACCUGACCUUUAGAGGGGGAUAACACUUGGAAACAGGUGCUAAUACCGCAUAAGACCACGACCUGACAUCAGGAUGAGGUCAAAGGAGAAAUCCGCUAGAGGAGGGGCUCGCGUCCCAUUAGAUAGAUGGCGGGGUAACGGCCCACCAUGUCGACGAUGGGUAGCCGAGCUGAGAGGCUGAUCGGCCACACUGGAACUGAGACACGGUCCAGACUCCUACGGGAGGCAGCAGUGGGGAAUAUUGGGCAAUGGGCGCAAGCCUGACCCAGCAACGCCGCGUGAGGGAAGAAGGCCUUCGGGUUGGUAAACCUCUGUCCUUGGUGACGAAACAAUGACGGUAGCCAAGGAGAGCCCGGCGUAACUACGUGCCAGCAGCCGCGGUAAU